rnacentral:lncRNA from 1 species
UUUUAUUCAAGCUUAUGGUUAAUCAUUGCUGAUUGCCAUGAAAAAUUUUACUCUGUACAUCUUGCAUGUAUAAGUCAGGUAUGAAAGGCUGAUCACCUUCAUUACCAGUUGGUCCAGAUAUAUUUGUUCAUGUCUAAUACUUGUUCAGUCAAAAGUUUGUUCGUGCUAGUUCUCAAUUAUAUUGAUGAAUUAUAGUCAGCCUUUUAUUCAUACUCU